rnacentral:rRNA from 1 species
UACGGGGGGGGCGAGCGUUGUUCGGAAUUAUUGGGCGUAAAGGGCGCGUAGGCGGUGUGGUAAGUCUGAUGUGAAACCUCCAGGCUCAACUUGGAGCUUGCAUCAGAAACUGCCGUGCUAGAGUGUGGGAGAGGAGAGUGGAAUUCCUGGUGUAGAGGUGAAAUUCGUAGAUAUCGGGAGGAACACCGGUGGCGAAGGCAGGUCUCUGGGCCACUACUGACGCUGAGAAGCGAAAGCAUGGGGAGCGAACAGG